rnacentral:rRNA from 1 species
UACGAAGGGGGCUAGCGUUGCUCGGAAUCACUGGGCGUAAAGGGUGCGUAGGCGGGUCUUUAAGUCAGAGGUGAAAUCCUGGAGCUCAACUCCAGAACUGCCUUUGAUACUGAGGGUCUUGAGUAUGACAGAGGUGAGUGGAAUUGCGAGUGUAGAGGUGAAAUUCGUAGAUAUUCGCAAGAACACCAGUGGCGAAGGCGGCUCACUGGGUCAUUACUGACGCUGAGGAGCGAAAGCGUGGGGAGCAAACAGG